GGCCUUAUGGUCUAGUAGUAUGAUUCCUCGUUUGGGUUUACCUGGUUGCUCUCAUCGAUCGAGGAGGUCCUGGGUUCAACUCCCAGUGAGGCCC